rnacentral:lncRNA from 1 species
AUGUAUGUAAAAUUUCCGUUUUGUCAGUUUCACCGGAUUCAUCCCCAUCAUGCAGAAACAGAAGUUUCCAGCAGAUGGCGCCAGAGGCCGUCUUUUCUCCGCCUCCCCGCGCGCUCCUCGCCGUUUCCGGAUCAGCACGUUCUCUCGAGAAAACGACAUUUCUCUGUCCGCGCCAGGCGCGCGCCGCAGCGGAAAACCCCAGCAAGACGCCUGGCAAGCAGCACAGCCCCAAGGGUUGCAGCCCUGGGCGUAAGACCAGCCGCCAGGAAUCCCGGCUUCCAAAUAGUUGAUGGGUUUCGCGCCAGCUCCGCUUUGAAGCAGCGGCCCUGCAGGACCGGGGGUCAGGCUCGUCCCUCCCACGGACCCCCGUGGAAGCAGCUGCCCAGACGUCUUGAGAAGGCUGGGCCUGAAAUAUGAAGAUUACUUAAAACUCAUACUAUGCCAGAACAUGGACAUCACAACAAAUUGGGUAAUGAGUGUCAACUCAAAGACUAUUUAAGAUUAAUUGUUGCACAAGAAAACCUGAAAUGCCCUGGAAGCUUAUGGACCAUAAAUGAAAGAAAAGUUCAGCACAACGUCCUCAAGCUUGAAAAGAAUCCUAAGACUUCAAGACUAACAAAGAGAUGUGAAGCCAAAACUCUCCUGAACUUUAAUAACAAAAACAAGGUGUGAUAAUUGUGCAAGUGAGAUGAACUAUUUUUCUAUUCCCUCUACAGGAAGAUAUUAUUGCAGAAUCAUUAUUUUUGCUGUUGUUUGUUUUAUUUUUUAUUUUUAUUUUUAGAGACAGGGCCCCCCUCCCCCAGGCUGGAGUACACGAUCAUAGCUCACUAUGGCCUCGAACUCAUGGGCUGCAGUGACCCUCCAACCUCAGCCUCCCCAGUAGCUAGGACUAUAGGGCAGGCAGAAUCAUUCUUCUGUGAAGAGAGAUAUAUACAGCCCAAAAAAUGCAGAGAAAGGAUGUUUAGAGGUACCUCGGGCAAUUUCUAAGCAAAAAUAUUGCAUUAUUCUUUUGAGUUUUAUGAUAUUCGUAGUAUUGGUCAGUUUCUGAAACUUCAUAAUUUGUUCCAAAUAAAUUUCUUGUUCUAAAUAAAUAUUCACUUUAGUACUGAGUUUCAUAUAUGUAAUUUUAUUUUUUCUUUCCUUAAAGAGGAUCUCCAGUAUUGAAUAAGGUUUCGGGCCCCACAAGAAUGGGAUCUAGCCCGGCCUCUGGAACGGCAUUCUCGGCACUGCUUCAAAUGGGUGUCCCUCACCUUCAUUGCAUUUGCCCCGCCCUGGGGCCAUAGGUAAAGCCUUUCUUCCAUUGUUCACCAAAGCCUGGAGACUUCAGCCGCUAUCAAUGGCUAUGCAUGUUUUAUGCCCAGGGACACCUGUGGUGCAACCAUCAUAGCUAAUUUUCCCUGCAGUGCACAAAUCUUACUCUCUUGAAAGCCAGAUGUAGUCAGUUCUCAGUCCCUUUGAUGUAAUGAAGUUACGCGUGUGCAACCAGCCUCCUCUUCUUGUUUGAGCUCCUUGAAACACUGCUUUUUCUGGAAAGGAAAACGGGAACCUAAUAGGAAGAACAUCAACCAUUAUCAGGCAGCUUAAAUGCCUUUGCAAGAACUCCUGGUAAUAAGAACUGGAUCUAAUUUUCCCCUCUGAAACUUGAGCAAACCACUCACCAUGACUUUCCGGAGCAGGGUAUGAUUUUUUGGGGGGUAGGGGGUAGGGGACACAGCCUCACUAUGUCACCCAGGCUGGAGUGCAGUGGCGUGAUCUCAGCUCACUGCAACAUCUGUCUCCUGAGUUCAAGCAAUUCUCCUGCCUCAGCCUCCUGAGUAGCUGGAAUUAAAGGUGUGUGCCACCAGGCCUGGCUAAUUUUUGUAGUUUUAGUAGAGAUGGGGUUUCACCAUGUUGGCCAGGCUGGUCUCAAACCCAUGACCUCAUGAUCCACCCACCUGUGUUUCCCAAAGUGAUGGGAUUACAGGUGUGAGCCACCAUGCCCUGCCAAGGAUAUGAUGUUAACAUGCCUAGGAUUCCUCUAUAGCAACAAUUUCAUUCUGUUUUCAGGCGAAUAGGAUAGUCUAUGUUCUUGACCUUUUAUACUAAAUUUCCUUUUGUACCCCAGAUCCACUUAAUAUCAAAGUUUUAAUGAAAUUAUUGAAUCAUGAAUAGAGCAUUCUGAGCAACUCUAGGAGGGUUACACCAUCUGCCUGUUUGCUUAGGUACUAGUUAAGGAUUAUCCUAGAUUUGAAGUUUAUUAUAAAUAAUCCCACUGGAACUACCUGCUUGAAUUAAAAUCUGAUUUUUCUUAUGACUGGAGGGGUGAAAACAGCCUAAGACAGAUUUAUGGUGAUAGUUGUACAACUUGGUGAAGUUACUGAAAAUCACUGACUUGUACACUUUGAAAUGAGUGAACUUUGAUUCGAUAAUGUUUUUAAAAAAUCUGACAUGCUUGAUGGUCUUUCAAUUUAGGGAUUACAAAACAAGAGCAAAAAAAAAAGACAUAAAAUUCAUGUAUAUCUCACAAAAAGUACAAUUUGUUAGUUAAAAUAGGAACUUUUUAAACAUCCUGGCUUUUACAUAAGAAUAAUCGUAGCCUGCAAAACCCUCUUAUCACUUAUGCUAACCUACUCCUUGAAUCUCAGCAUUCCUGAAAACUUUGAAACUCUUAGCAUUCAAAUUUUAAGAUUGUGACUUAAACCAAAAACCUCACAAGAAAUGUUGACUUUGUCCUGAGUGGCUAAGAACAAGAUUUCCAGCCAGUGACUCAGUUGUUUAUUCAGUGAUGAACCCAACACCUAAUAUGUGCUGAUCAUGGGAGUGAAGAGAUAACUGUGUGUUUCUAUCACUUUAGGUUUGGUAAAGCAGCACUUGUCACUGAGUAGAGCAAACAAAGUCUUUUAUGGGCAUUAUUCAGAGACUAAGAGCCACAUGACCCUCAGUUUUCAAAGCUGGAAUUUUUAGAAUUCUACUGUAACUGCUGGGGUAGUUUCCUCUAACAACGUACAACUCUGAAUGUAAAUAAGUCCAGUCUGAUGAUAGGAUUCUCUGCUAUUAGGUAAAGGUUUCCUUUCUUUUUUGAGAUGGAGUCUAGCUCUGUUGCCCAGGCUGGACUGCAAUGGUGCAAACUUGGCUCGGUGCAAUCUCCACCUCCUGGGUUCAAGCGAUUCUCAUGCCUCAGCCUCCCAAGCAGCUGGGAUUACAGCUGCCCGCCACCAUGCCCAGCUAAUUUUUAAAAAUAUUUUUAGUAGAGACGGGGUUUCACUGUGCUGACCAGGCUGGUCUCGAACUCCUGACCUCAUGAUUCGCCCGCCUCAGCCUCCCAAAGUGCUGGGACUAAAAGCGUGAACCACUGUGCCUGGCAAGCUUUUCAUUUUUUAAGGAGCCUGCUCUCCUUAGUUGACUGACAUUCCUUCUGGCUAGUGUGUUCUGUCUGGGAGCCUCUAUUAAUAUUCUAGAUUGAGCAGGCUAUGGCUGGUUAUACGGUUCCUAAUGAGAAUUGAUUUCUAUAGCUGGGACCAGCAGAACCAAACAGUACAAAGUGUUCCUUCCCAGGGAAAUACUAGCAUGGAUUUGGUUGUUGAAACGAGCUACUCGCCACCUUGGAAAUUCUAGUCCUCUGAAGUGGAACACAGACAGAUAUGUUUUAUUGGCAGGAAGCAUGGGAGGGGUCUGUUUGCUCAUUUCAACUGCACAAGUCAUUGAUUUUCAGUAAAUUCACCAAGUCAUGCAACUAUCACCAUCAAUCUGUGUUAGACUGUUUUCAUCCCUGCAGUCAUAAAAUGGAAAUCAGACCUUAUUUCAAGCAGGUAGCCCCAAUUAGCUUGCCUUCCUUUCCUUCCCUAAAUAUUUAAAAGGAAACAGAAAAGAAUUCCUGAUGGCAGAUAAUAAAAAAGAUAAUCUCAUGCAAAUGUGAUAUCCAUUUUCCAAAAAGUUAAUUUUCAACCUUUUUUUUUUUUUUGAGAUGGAGUCACCUAGGCUGGAGUGCAAUAGCAUGAUCUUGGCUCACUGCAGCUUCCACUUCUAGGGUUCAUGCAAUUCUCCCGCCUCAGUCUCCUGAGUAGCUGGGAUUACAGGCACGUGCCAUCAUGCCCAGCUAAUUUUUGUAUUUUUGUAAAGAUAGGAUUUCACCAUGUUGCCCAGACUGGUCUAGAACUCCAGACUUUAGGUGAUCCACCUGCCUUGGUCUCCCAAAGUGCUGGGAUUACAGGCGUGAGCCACCGCAGGCAGCCAAUUUUCAACUUUUAAUGACAUGUAUAAACCAGUCUGGGAAGAUAUAUAACAGUAUGGGAAGAUAUUCGUCCCUGUCUGGACUUCCAGGAUGGGCACCCUCUUUUUCCACUUGGGAAAUUCCCUUUUUGAAGGGAACAAAGUAGAAGCUCCUACCACAGAAGCAGCAGGUGCCAGGGCGUCAUGCUCCUGGGAUGGAUGAGAGCGCACGGCCUAGGCUCUGCUAAUCAAGUGCCCCUGCUCCAGACUUUGAAUUGGAAGUUUGUGACUUAAGGAAGCAUGGACCGCAUCAUCUAUUCGAGUGAGGGGUUCACUUAUCCAAACCCUUUAUACCCUCUUCCCUUUGUCCCUACUACAGAGGCUGCACAUGCCAAAUGAGUGCUUUCUUGGGUUCCCUUGUAGCUCUAGAAGGCUUAUGGCCCACUCUGGCCAGAGAUAGAAGUGGAGGCCUGACGGAAUUUUUUUGGUAAAACCUUGUCCUGAUACAGGAGUCACUCCUUCUGUCUUCUUCCAAUUUCUGCUUUUAAUGCAAAUGUAAUGGCUGGAGCUAGAGCAGCCAUCUUGCAACCACAAGAGGAC